AGAGUAUUGUACCACAAUCCCAGUUGUUUGCAAUAAAUGGCUUGUCUUGAUUUUCCAGAUUAUAGCUAGAAGAUUGCCUCAAACGAUGAAUUGUAGAAUGGAGCAGGAUGUCUGUGUGUCUGCGUCUUCACCCGGGUUUUUCAGGCCAGCCCACAGCCACCACAGAUGACCUGCUGAUGCCUCUGCUGAAAUCCGUGGCCACUGGCCAACAGCUUGACAAGAGUGUCAGCUCCCUCCCGAGACGAAAUCAGAGGAAAACGCCUCUAGUUUCUAAGAAGCACACAGGGAGCCACUUCUUUACCGCUAGCUCCUGCAGGAUCUGUGGGAUCCUGCAGGUGCUGGUUUGCCUCCUGAGCCCUGUCCUAAGGACACUCUGCACAUCGCCUCCUGACAGAUGGGCUUUCACAUUCAAGAGACACUGGAGCUGCCAUAACCUUGAGUGGACAUGAGCUUGGCCAGAUUGCACUGUCCAAAUGCCAGGACCCAGGGCCCCGGGGAGGUCUCUGGUGCAUGCGGCAGUGCUCUUGGAGGAUCUUGAUCACUCCAGCGCAUUCCUUGCAGCAAUCUGCACUUGGAACAGCGUUUGAUAUGGAAGGAAACACUAGUAUAAUAUCAAGUUGUGUAUAAUUGCAAAACUUGCUGUCUCGGAUGUGAAAUAAAUUCGGCUAAUUUGUUGGUAGGAGCUAUCAUAGUAUUUUUUUGGUAUCAAUGUCACUGGAGACUAUAUCCCUGAAUAAGUGCCAGGCACUGGCUCUGAACUAACUAAAUGCUUUGCAUGUGUUAUUUCAUUAAAUCCUCACAAUAA
rnacentral:lncRNA from 1 species